CACGGAGGAUGCAAGCGUUAUCCGGAAUUAUUGGGCGUAAAGCGUCCGCAGGUGGCUAUUCAAGUCUGCGGUCAAAGACUGGGGCUUAACCCUGGAAAGGCCGUGGAAACUGAAGAGCUAGAGUGCAGUAGGGGUAGAGGGAAUUCCCGGUGUAGCGGUGAAAUGCGUAGAGCUCGGGAAGAACAUCGGUGGCGAAAGCGCUCUGCUGGACUGCAACUGACACUCAGGGACGAAAGCUAGGGGAGCGAAUGGG
rnacentral:rRNA from 1 species